UGCAUAACAAAAAAGCGGAGGAAAAGAAACCAACCGGGAUUGCCUUAGUAACGGCGAGUGAAGCGGCAAAAGCUCAAAUUUGAAAUCUGGUACCUUUGGUGCCCGAGUUGUAAUUUGUAGAAGGUAACUUUGGGGCUGGUCCUUGUCUAUGUUCCUUGGAACAGGACGUCAUAGAGGGUGAGAAUCCCGUGUGGCGAGGAUCCCAGUUCUUUGUAAAGUGCUUUCGAAGAGUCGAGUUGUUUGGGAAUGCAGCUCUAAGUGGGUGGUAAAUUCCAUCUAAAGCUAAAUAUUGGCGAGAGACCGAUAGCGAACAAGUACAGUGAUGGAAAGAUGAAAAGAACUUUGAAAAGAGAGUGAAAAAGUACGUGAAAUUGUUGAAAGGGAAGGGCAUUUGAUCAGACAUGGUGUUUUGCGCCCUCUGCUCCUUGUGGGUGGGGGAAUCUCGCAGUUCACUGGGCCAGCAUCGGUUUUGGCGGCAGGAUAAAUCUUCAGGAAUGUAGCUUGCCUCGGUAAGUGUUAUAUCCUGGAGGAAUACUGCCAGCUGGGACUGAGGACUGCGACUUUACGUCAAGGAUGCUGGCAUAAUGGUUAUAUGCCGCCCGUCUUGAA
rnacentral:rRNA from 1 species